AGCGGGGCUGCACCAAUUGAUAGUCUAGGCCGAGGCUCCAGCUUAGGCAUUUUUGGAGUUCUUGAGGUAGUGUCGGAGGUGAUGCAUCUGGGCUGUAGGUAUCCAAGUAGCCUAUACUGUCCAUCACAUUUGGCAGGCGAGGAAUAGUAUGGUGUUCGAGUCAAGAAAGUGCUCAAUGAGACUCAUUCUAAAGAGAGUCUUGAUUUGACUGCAG
rnacentral:lncRNA from 1 species